AGUGGUGAGCAGAAAGCAGCCACGGUGUGUGGCACCGUCGCGUGGCACCGUUGCUCAUCGGCUGUGUCCUCUUGCCUAGG
rnacentral:miRNA from 1 species